UCCGUGUGCUGUGUACGUGAGCUGAACCGCGAACUAGAACCAGACCUAGCAAACGUGACAUAUUAUAUAUAUUAAAUAUUAGUUAGUUGCUCAGUCUGCCUUGAAGUUAAGAACCAAGAAUCAAAUGGCAUUACUGAGGAGCUCACUGAGUUGUCUUGUCAGCUGCAAGGCCCAAAACCAGUUGGCUUUAAAAAGAAGCAACUACAAAAAUAAACCACAGAACAAUUAAAAGUAAACAGAAAGAAAAAUAAGAAAAGACGAUCUGCAACGACUGUGAAAUACGCUGUAUAGACUAUGUUUAAGAUUAAGAAGUUCCCUGAAGCAAAAUCUAACCAUAAUUUGACUGCUUAAUCUUAAAAAUAUGCUCUUUGUCACUUCCAAGUACAGAGUGUAGAAAGCGAGAAGACAGAACACUUCCGGCAAUUCAGCGUUUUCUCA